rnacentral:tRNA from 1 species
GCCAAGGUAGCUCAGCCUGGUUAGAGCGACAGACUCAUAUGCUUGACAUUUGAGUGAUGAGCCUUUAUUGGCGAUGAUAUAACUUGUCUCUCUGCGUAAUCUGUAGGCCGCGAGUUCAAAUCUCGCCCUUGGCA